GGACAUUGAAAAGAGAGAUGAUUCAUAGCUUCAUCCCAGUAACCAAACAUGGUCUAUUUUGAGCCAAAAAGCCGAGUCAAAAGCAGGAAGCCGACUCAAUCUUAAAUCUUAACUUAUGUCCUGCUGGCUAAGGUGGAGUUGCAGCUGUUACCAAACCUGUGAAAAAGCCCUUUCGGGGAAUCCGAAACCCUAGAAAUUUUAAAUGAUAAAGAAAAGCAGGGAGUGACUACGUUGCAGAUCAAGUGGGGGCAUCCACCCCCCACUCCAGUCUGCAUUUCAUUAUUAAAAUAAACCCCUGUUCCAGAUAUUUUCAUAACAUCCUCCCUCUCUCUCUCUCCUCUUUCCCUCUCAACGUCCAUUCAUUUCCAGUGUUUAUAGAUAUGAGUUGGAUAAAGAACAGAUUUGAUUCAAUCUGGAGACGCGUAGGCCUGUGAGCCAAAGACACAGAGCUAUUCCUGACAGGCCUAUCAUCCCUUUUUUUCUUGUCUAUGGGAGGAAGUCAUCUGACUGGGAAAACCAUCAGAGAGUUGGGAUCAUAUGUGGGGUCUUGAUUAAAAGUACUGCAAAUUCUCUCAUUAAGGCAGGAUAUGUAUGGGAAGAUACUAUUUCAGUGAGCAGUCAAUUAUCUAUCAAAAUUCUGGUCUGCAUCUGCUGUAGAAAUAUAUAUAUUUAAACCUGGAAGUGGAUGGAACAACUGGAAUUCAUGACUAUGGCUGUGGGUCAUCAGAAGGGGUUGUAAUGUUUAAGUAAACCAACAAAAACCAUUACUGCACCACUUCUUGGGGAUUUUCUGUGUGCAAUCUAGGUGGAUGGAGGUUUCGUUGCCAGGAAGCUAAGGAUUUGUGGAAGGUGUAUAAUUCGUGUUGGGAAAGCUUGCAAGAAGGUAAAAAUUUUCAGGAAUUUGAACUGUAAUUCCUCCUUCCCAAUUAAUUCCUUUGCCAACAUGAGCGACACCAGUGCAAGUACAGAGAAGGUUUGCCUAUUGUCUAUUAACUGCAUUGUUGUUUGAACAUGUCUUAAAUUUUUUUAUACCUUAUGGAUAGGUUGAUAAAUACAUACACAAACAAUUAGAUAAAGCAUUCUAUAUAUAAUGCUGCAAUGCUGUGCUUGCAUACAAAAUCAACUAUAUAUGCUUCUUUAAACAUGGAUAAAUUUACAGAAGAAGAUGGAGUGGUGGUUACUGAAGAAUACCUUGACUUCUGAAGUUGGGUUAACCAGUUGUUGGUGUUCCUCUUUUGCUUUGAUAUAGCGCUCAGUUAUUGAUUUAAUGCUGGAAUAGCAGAAUGAAAUUGUGUGAGAUCUCAAAUAUGUUCUGUAUACUGUUUUUGGGCAUUUCAUACAGAAAUUUGAAACAUAAUGUCAGGCAAUACUAUGUGAAGAGUUGGCUGUCUCAUUAUAUCAUUAUGAUUAAACAAAAGACUACAGGUUUACCUGCUAAGGAGGUGAUUACUCCAAGAGACAUAAACUCAAGGUAUGGACUUCAAACAGUUCUGUUUUUCCUACUUUUACUUUUCUGAAAGAAUGUUCUUGAAAAUCUGAGUUUAUGUUAUAUUUUCUUUGCAUUCUUUUUUAUAGACAAGUUGGGGAUAGUAUAUUUUUUAGAAUAAGUGAUUUAAUAAAAAAAUGAAGUGUGACCCUAGUAUAUAGAAAGGUGUACAAGGUACACCAAGGCAACAGAACUUAUGGUAGAGCAUGAGCAAAAGUUAUAAGAUGCCUCUAAACUAUCAAAAAAAAGAAAGGAGUGCUCUACAUCAGAUCUUUAGACCAUAAAAGUAGAGUUCUAAGGACUUGGUGCUUCACAAUCAAAAUUGAUUGCUCUAAACUAUCGAAGAACCUUCUGUUCCUCUCUUUUUAUAUUAUCAGAAGUGAACCAUUGGCUUAUAUCUCUUUUCUUUGAAACUAUCAUGCCCAGCCAAAUCUCUAAAUGGGUUGGGAAGAGCAUGAUAUCACAGACCAAUACCUUAUCUGAGAAUUCAUACGGUAACUCAGCACCUCAAACUCUAAGCAACUUAAUAAGCCUAAUUCAAGCCACUGGGAAAAUAAAAGCAAGAGCUAAUAGGAAGAGAAUGCUUGAAGAAAUUCUGAUAAAAAAAAAAAUGAUAGAGAGAGAAUGCUUGAAGAAAGCAAGUGUAAUAACAUUAGAAAACUUUACAAAACACUUGUCAACUUGAUUGAUGGUAGACCACCUAGUUAUCAGUACGAGGGGAAAGUCCUCUUAAUGCAUAUUGAAUAUGGAAUUCUAAUAAGCUUGUCAAGCACUUCCAAGCUGGUCCAAGCACUACUAAACUCCUUAGUGGCUGUUGUAUGCUCCUUCAAGCACCUUCAAAUACCUUAAAAUCUGCUUCGGGCACUUUAAAGUUCUGGAACAUUUUGGAGCUGCUUGAAACCCUUGGAGAAUGGAAAAAUUGUAGAUCUACACAAAAUUGGGAGUGAGCUAUGACAAUAAGACACCUUAAACAAGGAGAAUACCCGAGACUACAAAUUAGAAGCUCAUCCACAAUGAAUCAGAGUAUGGUUUGCAGUUUCCUCUUGUUUGUGCUAACCAUUACCCAACUGCAUCUCAUAGAGUUGUUUAUGUUAAGAUAUCCUCCCAUGCUGGCUUUUCUAGCAAAGAAACUUUGGAUGACACCUUAAGAGUCAUAAAGCUUGUGAAAAAAAAGAAAAAAAAACCAAGGCUCCCCCAUGCCAAUCUACCCCCUGCACUGCUAUGAAUAGACAUUACGUCUAGGAGCUGCAUAAAUGGCUCUAUCUGCCUUUCAAAGAAGCCACCUCAGAAAAAGAAGUCCUUGCUACCUAGAAGCUAUUCUCCCUCAAUUCAACAAUCUAGCACCCAAACUUCUUUCAGAACUACCAUAUUAAACAUUUUAGGGAAUCGAAUUUGUAUAAAAGUCUUCUGAUGCUUUCCAGAGGAUAACCCUACUAGCCUCUGUGCUAUCUCAAAUUCCAAACACAGCCCCAACACCUCCUCCACCCCUUCCGUACUAACUGUCCUUCCCACUGA